UCUCACCGUUUGAUUAUAUAUACAUCAAUACAUGUGCCUAAAGAACAUGUUUUACGAACAAUAUGGACUCAUCAAGACAUUCCGUUGUCAUAGUAGCAUUCUUAUUAGCUUUUUCCAUCAUGGCUUCAGAUAUCUGCAUUAAGUCAGAAGCAAGGGGACCCAUAUAUAAAUCACAUUGUGACAAGGACUUCGAGUGUCGAGUUGGAUGUCAUAAUAUAAUGUGUGGUUGUAGAGCCGUAUGUAUUGAUCAUGUGUGUCAAUGUCCGCAUCCAAGUUCCACCAAUAAUAAUAUUCUUGGUGUAGCACCUCCAAACUGAGUGCCAGAAAAUAGGAUCUUGGGAUGCAACUAUAAGGUUCUUAAUGUAUAUUUAGUUCUAGUUCCUAAUAAUGGAUUAUUGCAUCUCUUUGUGUAUCCAAACAUUACAUCAUGAAUGUCUUAAUAAAACUUAAGCUUUACUUUGUUCUUA